UACUUUGCUUUGAUAAAGAGGAGUAAGUAAAUAGUACUAUACAGAGAGAAGAUCCUAGGCUGAGAGGUCUUAAGUUAAAUAUUUACUGAAGGUAGCUUUUGAGCAUUCAAGCUGAAACUAAGUAAGCUUGAAGGGUUAAACCCUUAUAUUUAUUUAAGAGCUAUGGAAAUAUCCAUGGAAUUAAGGUGGUACCGCGAAUUACCCUUCGUCCUUUAU
rnacentral:ncRNA from 1 species